AAGACCUCCUGGGAUGGUGACUUAACUAUUUCCCCAGGCAGACUGUUUUAAUGCCUUACAACCCUUCCAGUAAAGACUUUUCUCCUACCAUCCAACCUCCCCUGGCACAACUUGAGACCAUUUCCCCUUGUCUUACCACUUGGUGUUUGGGAGAAGAGACUGAUCCCCACCUUGCUACAACCUCCUGUUUAAGAUAUAUUUUCAGGAUUGAUUCCUGGAUAUGGCCAACCAGGAAAACACCCUGCAGAACUGGACAUUAGUAGAUAUUCUUCAAAAUCUCCAUAAAUCUACGGGAAGAGAUGAUCCUGUUUGUUUUGCAAGAACUCUGGAACCAUAAAUUAAAAGACCCCACUAGCCUGUCUGGGAAUAAUCCUAAGCAGCAAACAAAAUGAUGGGUGUGAGUUACUGCUAUCAUGCUCCAGAGCUCACCUUCACUAUCUGGAAGAAGGGAAAGCAGGACAGAACCAUCUUUCUUAUUGUCGUUGUGUUACCGGAUGCUGAAAUGCAUUCAAUGCCCCAGAGCCUUCAUCUUCAUGGUCUCACCCAAACCAAGCCAGAAAGUAGCUUCCACAUAACAUUGUUUCCACCUAGUUUUAAAAAUAUUUCAGAUGUGUGAAUUUAUUCCUUACUUCUUUUCCUUUGCCACUUUUUAGUGUUUCCCUCCUGCUGUUUAAUAAGAACCUUGCUCCAAGUGUUUGGUGCUCCACAUGCUCUGGAGCACCAAACACUGUGACUUACUGACCAGAGAGAUGACUAGCAGUCUGAUAUUGAAAAGGGAAUGAAAAAUCUUUGAGUAUCUCAGUUUGAUGUUGUGCUAGUCUUUCUCCAGGAAUAUUUAUUCCCAGAAGGGCACUGCAAAGCAAGCCUUAGAUAUUCUUGUUAAUAAGGUUUAAAUUACUACUGUCCUCAAUUGUUCAUCCUCACCCUUACUGGGUUACUUAUCCCACAGCAGGAAUGGCUGAAGAAAUGUGCAAACGCAUCUUAGCCUGUCACCUUAGCUUAAAGUGAUGAUAAAGUGGGUGAGACCUAUGGCUGUGAUUUUGAGAUGAGGUAAAAUGCUAGCUUUUUCUCCUGCCUCAGACAAAGGGACAAGAGAGUCAAGUGAGAAUGGAAACUCUGACUGCCACAGCAAAUGGUAGAGAUAAUCUGUUAAAGUCUGAUGUUGAAGGCACCUUUUCUCUUUAUUUUAUUUUCUUGUUUUCAAGGAUACUGUUCACCUCAGCUAACUUUCUUUUACUCCAAAGCCCAGUUAUCUUAAUACUUCAUAAAAGACUGUGAAAUGGUUGGUUUGUUUUUCCAUAUAAAAAUUCUUUACAGCAAAAGCAAAAGCAAA